rnacentral:rRNA from 1 species
GACGAACGCUGGCGGCGUGCCUAACACAUGCAAGUCGAACGGAAAGGCCCUGCUUUUGUGGGGUCCUCGAGUGGCGAACGGGUGAGUAACACGUGAGUAACCUGCCCUUGACUUUGGGAUAACUUCAGGAAACUGGGGCUAAUACCGGAUAGGAGCUCCUGCUGCAUGGUGGGGGUUGGAAAGUUUCGGCGGUUGGGGAUGGACUCGCGGCUUAUCAGCUUGUUGGUUGGGUAGUGUCUUAGCAAGGCCUGGACGGGUAGCAGGCCUGGGAGGGUAACCGGCCACAUUGGGCCGGGGAUGCGACACAGCCCCCUCCGGGAGGCGACGGAGCGGUAUGUUGCACUGUGGGAGGGGCCCUAAUGCAGCCAAGCCGCGUGGGGGGUGUGGGCCUUCGGUUUGUGAACCAAUGCUGCCUUUGACGAGGCGUGAAUGACGGUACUGGGUGAAUAAGCACCGGCUAACUACGUG